rnacentral:rRNA from 1 species
UGGGGAAUAUUGGGCAAUGGAGGAAACUCUGACCCAGCAACGCCGCGUAAAGGAUGAAGGUCUUCGGAUUGUAAACUUUUGUGAUGGAGGACGAAAAAAAUGACGGUACUCCAAUAGCAAGCCCCGGCUAACUAUGUGCCAGCAGCCGCGGUAAUACAUAGGGGGCAAGCGUUGUCCGGAAUGACUGGGCGUAAAGGGUACGUAGGUGGUUGUUUAAGUUGCAAGUGAAAUUCCAAGGCUCAACCUUGGCGCUACUUGUAAUACUGGAUAACUUGAGUGCAGGAGAGGUAAGUGGAAUUCCUAGUGUAGCGGUGGAAUGCGCAGAUAUUAGGAGGAACAUCGGAGGCGAAGGCGACUUACUGGACUGUAACUGACACUGAGGUACGAAGGCGUGGGGAGCAAACA